rnacentral:rRNA from 1 species
CCCUUAGAUGUUCUGGGCCGCACGCGCGCUACACUGACUGGUGCAACAAGUGUCGCUCCUUGGCCGAUAGGCCUGGACAAUCUUUGAACGCCAGUCGUGAUGGGGAUAGAUUCUUGCAAUUUUUGAUCUUCAACGAGGAAUUCCUAGUAAACGCGAGUCAUCAACUCGCAUUGAUUACGUCCCUGCCCUUUGUACACACCGCCCGUCGCACCUACCGAUUGAAUGGUCCGGUGAACCCUCCGGAUCGGCCCGCGCCAACGCAAGUUGAGCAAAGGCCGAGAAGUUGGGUAAACCUUACCAUUUAGAGGAAGGUGAAGUCGUAACA